AGAACAGGGCAAAGCCCAUUCUGUGUUCUGCCCCCAGCCACAGUGGGAGGCAGGCUGUGUCCUGGCGCCACGGGAAUGUUCCAGAGUAACUGUCAACUGUAAGUCUGUAGGGCCAUACCAGGUGCAGCUACAUCAUAAGAGAUUUUCCCAAAUCCUCGGCGCCGAAAGAAGGCUUCACGACCGGAACCUGCUUGGUUGUCUCUUUUAUCCACAUUUUCAGUGACUGAGCAAGGGUUUGGAAAGCACUCAGCUGCUCCUGACAAGAACUGAGAGCGUCUUUCCUAAUGAACAAAAAUGAACCAGAAGUUAAGCUGCAAAACCAGAUGAUCCAAAAGGCCAGUUACUAACCAGCGGUCAACACUCCCAGAUCGGGCUCAACACUAGCAGCAAGAUUCAAUGCACAGAGCAACUCUUGAGUACCAGGCUGAUGUGUUCUUCCUUGGGAAAUGCUUCGAGGAGAAACAAACACUGGUAGCUAAGAUUGUCGAUGAAACGCAUGAGCUUGUCUUAACCAGUCCAGGUGCUUGGCAUUGGAACCCCUGAGGAAUACUCACCUGCAUAUGCUGAGACAGCUCUGGGACAUCCUUUCCUGGCAUGUCCACCUCAGUGAGUGCCUGGCUCUGUGUCUCUAGAAACGUCUGGAGCUUCUCUGAGAGCUUCUCAAACUGCUCUACUUUGGCCUUU